rnacentral:rRNA from 1 species
CUUUCAACAACGGAUCUYUUGGUUCUGGCAUCGAUGAAGAACGCAGCGAAAUGCGAUAAGUAAUGUGAAUUGCAGAAUUCAGUGAAUCAUCGAAUCUUUGAACGCACAUUGCGCCCCUCGGACUUCCGAGGGGCAUGCCUGUUCGAGCGUCA